AGCAGCCGCGGUAAUUCCAGCUCCAAUAGCGUAUAUUAAAGUUGUUGCAGUUAAAAAGCUCGUAGUUGAAUUUCGGGGUCAGUAGGUUGGUCGUGCCACUGGUAUGUACUGGCUUCACUGAUUCCUCCCUCUUGUAGAACCGUAAUGCCAUUAAUUUGGUGUUGCGGGGAAACAGGACUGUUACUUUGAAAAAAUUAGAGUGUUUAAAGCAGGCUAACGCUUGAAUACAUUAGCAUGGAAUAAUGAAAUAGGACGUUUGAUCCUAUUUUGUUGGUUUCUAGGAUUGACGUAAUGAUUAAUAGGGAUAGUUGGGGGCAUUAGUAUUCAAUUGUCAGAGGUGAAAUUCUUGGAUUUAUUGAAGACUAACUACUGCGAAAGCAUUUGCCAAGGAUGUUUUCAUUAAUCAAGAACGAAAGUUAGGGGAUCGAAGACGAUCAGAUACCGUCGUAGUCUUAAACCAUAAACUAUGCCGACUAGGGAUCGGAUGAUGUUAAUUUUUUAAUGACUCAUUCGGCGCCUU
rnacentral:rRNA from 1 species